UAAGGAAUAUUGGACAAUGGUCGCAAGACUGAUCCAGCCAUGCCGCGUGCAGGAAGACGGCCCUAUGGGUUGUAAACUGCUUUUGUACCAGAGAAAACCUAUCUACGUGUAGAUAGCUGAUAGUAUGGUAAGAAUAAGCAUCGGCUAACUUCGUGCCAGCAGCCGCGGUAAGACGAAGGAUGCAAGCGUUAUCCGGAUUCAUUGGGUUUAAAGGGUGCGUAGGCGGGCUUGUAAGUCAGUGGUGAAAUCUCUCAGCUUAACUGAGAAACUGCCAUUGAUACUGCAGGCCUAGAGUAUAGAUGACGUUGGCGGAAUAUGUCAUGUAGUGGUGAAAUACUUAGAUAUGUCAUAGAACACCGAUUGCGAAGGCAGCUAACGAAACUAUAACUGACGCUGAGGCACGAAAGUGCGGGGAUCAAACA
rnacentral:rRNA from 1 species